AGUGAAUAGAUACCCGGGUAGUCCACGCUGUAAACGAUGGGUACUAGAUUUGGUGGGAUUUGACCCCUGCUGAGUCGGCGCUAAACGCAAUAAGUACCCGCCUGGGAAGUACGGUCGCAAGAUUAAACUACAAAGGAAUUGACGGGGGCCCGGCACAAGCGGUGGAUCAUGUGGUUUAAUUCGAAGCAACGCGAAGAACCUUACCUGGAUUUGACAUCCUCUGACAACCGUAGAGAUACGGCUUCUGUAGCAAUACAGCAGAGAGACAGGUGCUGCAUGGCUGUCGUCAGCUCGUGUGGUGACAUGUUGGGUUAAGUCCCGCAACGAGCGCAACCCCUGUCCUUAGUUGCCAGCAUUCAGUUGGGCUCUCUAGGGAGACUGCCGUGGUUAACACGGAGGAAGGUGGGGAUGACGUCAAGUCCUCAUGGCCUUUAUAUCCAGGGCGACACACGUGAUACAAUGGACAUCACAAAGGGAUGCGAAAGAGCGAUCUGGAGCCAAUCUC
rnacentral:rRNA from 1 species